rnacentral:rRNA from 1 species
CGCCUGGGGAGUGCGGCCGCAAGGUUAAAACUCAAAUGAAUUGACGGGGACCCGCACAAGCGGUGGGGCAUGUGGUUUAAUUCGACGCAACGCGAAGAACCUUACCUGGCCUUGACAUGCAGAGAACUUUCCAGAGAUGGAUUGGUGCCUUCGGGAACUCUGACACAGGUGCUGCAUGGCCGUCGUCAGCUCGUGUCGUGAGAUGUUGGGUUAAGUCCCGUAACGAGCGCAACCCCUAUCCCUAGUUGCUAGCAGUUCGGCUGAGAACUCUAGGGAGACUGCCGGUGACAAACCGGAGGAAGGUGGGGAUGACGUCAGGUCAUCAUGGCCCUUACGGCCAGGGCUACACACGUGCUACAAUGGCGCGCACAGAGGGCUGCAAACCCGCGAGGGGGAGCCAAUCUCACAAAACGCGUCGUAGUCCGGAUCGCAGUCUGCAACUCGACUGCGUGAAGUCGGAAUCGCUAGUAAUCGUGAAUCAGAAUGUCACGGUGAAUACGUUCCCGGGCCUUGUACACACCGCCCGUCACACCAUGGGAGUGGAUUGCACCAGAAGUGGUUAGUCUAACCUUCGGGAGGACGAUCACCACGGUGUGGUUCAUGACUGGGGUGAAGUCGUAACAAGGUAACCGUA